AAAUUAAAAAGAAAAGGAAUAAGACCUUUAUAAGUG
rnacentral:tRNA from 1 species